UGGGGAAUAUUGGACAAUGGGCGCAAGCCUGAUCCAGCCAUACCGCGUGGGUGAAGAAGGCCUUCGGGUUGUAAAGCCCUUUUGUUGGGAAAGAAAUCCAGCCGGCUAAUACCUGGUUGGGAUGACGGUACCCAAAGAAUAAGCACCGGCUAACUUCGUGCCAGCAGCCGCGGUAAUACGAAGGGUGCAAGCGUUACUCGGAAUUACUGGGCGUAAAGCGUGCGUAGGUGGUUAUUUAAGUCCGUUGUGAAAGCCCUGGGCUCAACCUGGGAACUGCAGUGGAUACUGGAUGACUAGAAUGUGGUAGAGGGUAGCGGAAUUCCUGGUGUAGCAGUGAAAUGCGUAGAGAUCAGUAGGAACAUCCAUGGCGAAGGCAGCUACCUGGACCAACAUUGACACUGAGGCACGAAAGCGUGGGGAGCAAACA
rnacentral:rRNA from 1 species